GGUCUCUCUAUAGUGGCCUCACUGUCUCCAGCGAAGAUCUCAGUCUUGCUUCUGGACAAAUAUUACCGAGAGACGUCUGCAAACCCCGGGCGCCCGGCUCCCACAUCACAGGGGCUGCGUCUCAGAAAACAACUUGUUUCUGCCGGGAGCCGACGUCAGGCCACAUCUGCAGACGCCUGGACACGCUAAUCCACCCCCUACCGCCGCCUCCCAGGGCACCUCGCCACACAGGACGCUCUGGGCUUCCC
rnacentral:lncRNA from 1 species